rnacentral:rRNA from 1 species
AUAAGCGGAGGAAAAGAAACCAACAGGGAUUGCCUCAGUAGCGGCGAGUGAAGCGGCAAGAGCUCAGAUUUGAAAUCGCCUCGGCGAGUUGUAAAUUGCAGGUUGGAGUCUUUGUGGCGGCGUGUGUCUAAGUCCCUUGGAACAGGGCGCCAUUGAGGGUGAGAGCCCCGUGCGGCACGCGCCUAAGCUUUAAGACCCUUCUGACGAGUCGAGUUGUUUGGGAAUGCAGCUCUAAGUGGGUGGUAAAUUCCAUCUAAGGCUAAAUACUGGCGAGAGACCGAUAGCGAACAAGUACUGUGAAGGAAAGAUGAAAAGCACUUUGAAAAGAGAGUGAAACAGCACGUGAAAUUGUUGAAAGGGAAGGGUAUUGGGCUCGACAUGGGGACUGCGCACCGUUGCUUCUUGUAGGCGGCGCUCUGUGCGGUUUCUGGGCCAGCAUCAGUUUUUGCCGCGGGAGAAUGGGGGGAGGAACGUGGCUCUUCGGAGUGUUAUAGCUUCUCUCAGAUGCCGCGAGCGGGGACUAAGGUUCUGCAACUCGU